rnacentral:lncRNA from 1 species
GAGAAUGCACCAGGCAUCUAAUUGUGGAAGAUAAAAUAAUGUUUUGCAAGUAUCCGAGUAGACUAGUGGGUUUCAACCAUCUAAAUACAAACUAUUUUGGAUUUCAAUGUAAAAGCUUAAUUCCAUUAAAAAAUGCUUAGAAAUACUAUUUUUAAUAACUUCAAGAUAUUAUAAGUACAAGUCUUUUAUUAUUUGUUAAUUUUUUAUUUUAUUUUAUUUUAUUAUUUUAUUUUAUUAUUUUAUUAUUUUUACUUUUUAAAUCCUAACCCUAGACAACAAGCUUCGACAAGCUGUAAUUUCCAAUCUGACUGUCCGAUUGUUGUAAACUUCUACCACUAGUAUCUUUACAAGCCUUCUAAAUACUCAAGAAGUUUCAAUCCAAUCUAACUUAAAGAUUACAAAAAAAUGCCAUAAAUCCACACUAAUGUAUCUUAACCGCCGCCUAGAAGUCCUCGACUUACCACACCAAAAGUCACCUUAUUCCAUUUGGUAGAUCUCGAGAUAUUACAAAAAUCCUAAACAACCCCAAUCUGCUAACUUUCGAUACAUCUUUACGCUAAUGGUCAAAUAACCUCUAUCUAUUUUGUCAGAUUAAUACAAACUUUUGCAUCCACUCGACAUACUCAACCCUCUAGACACCUAUAAAUUUCAACUGCAGAAGUUUCUCCCAUUUCAGAAAAUAGUCAAGAGUAUCAGCCUUAACUUUAUUGCAAAAAAAACCCAAAUCACUAAUACAAACACUAACUUUCAGCAACGAUUGCCAAAGUUCUCUCAAAUCCUAUGAACCCAAUUCUACACCUUUCGAAGGAGCUUGAAGCCAGCUUUUUAAUCCCAAAAUCCUGAUCUCCAAAUGUC